rnacentral:rRNA from 1 species
GCUAAUACCGCAUGGUUUCUUGAUCUCUCGGGGUUGAGAAUAAAGCAGUAAUGCGCUCAAGGAUGGGGUCACCCCCCAUUAGCUUGUUGGUAGGGUAACGGCCUACCAAGGCUGCGAUGGGUAGCUGGACUGAGAGGUUGGCCAGCCACACUGGGACUGAGAUACGGCCCAGACUCCUACGGGGGGCAGCAGUCUAGAGGCUUCGACAAUGCCCGAAAGGGUGAUCGAGCGACGCCGCGUGCGGGAUGAAGGUCUUCGGAUUGUAAACCGCUUUUGUUUGGGAAGAAGGCCUGUGUCGUGAACAUGGGAUUGACGGUACCAAACGAAUAAGCCCCGGCUAACUCCGUGCCAGCAGCCGCGGUAAGACGGAGGGGGCAAGCGUUGUUCGGAAUCAUUGGGCGUAAAGGGCUCGUAGGCGGACUAGUAAGUCUGGCGUGAAAUCUCCACCGCUCACCGGGGAGAGGUCGCUGGAUACUGCUAGUCUUGAGUUCGGUAGAGGGUCGUGGAAUUUCGGGUGUAGCGGUGGAAUGCGUAGAUAUCCGAAAGAACACCGGUGGCGAAGGCGGCGACCUGGGCCUGAACUGACGCUGAGGAGCGAAGGCUAGGGGAGCAAACGGGAUUAGAUACCCCGGUAGUCCUAGCUGUAAACGGUGGAUACUAGGUGUGGGGGGUAUUCGACCCCUCCUGUGCCGUAGUCAACACAUUAAGUAUCCCGCCUGGGAAGUACGGCGCAAGGUUGAAACUCAAAGGAAUUGACGGGGGCCCGCACAAGCGGUGGAGCAUGUGGUUUAAUUCGACGCAACGCGAAGAACCUUACCCGGGCUCGAAAUGUUAGGGACAUCCCUGGAAACAGGG